CAGCCGUGAAGCCAACUCUGCAUGUGGUCUGUGAGCACUCUGAGGUGUGGAAAGGUUGCCUCUGCUGGUUGGUUAAGAGCUAGAGCAACGACUAAAGCAGUGGUUCUCGAACUUGAGUGUGCCUCAGAAUGACCUGGAAGGUGUUUUCAACCACAGGUGGCUGGGCGCCGACCCCAGAGUUUUUGAGUCGGUAGGUCUAGGGUAGGGCCCGAGGACUGGCGUUUCCAACAAGGUGCCGGGUUCCCGGGGGAUGCUCAUGCUGUCGCUCUGGGGACCACACUUUCAGAAAGCCUGGACUAGAGACGAAGCCGGCUUGAAAGCUUGGCUGUACUCGUGUAAUCUCAGGUAAGUCGCUUAAACUCAGCCUUAGAUUCCUCGUGUGGAAAACGGAAAUAGAGGACCGGCGUUCCCAUGUUACUGUGAAGAUGAAAUGAGGGCAGAAGGCCCUUGGCACAGGCCCCGGCACGUGGCAACCUCCGAAUGGAUGUCGGCAAUUAUUGUGUAUUUUUUAAUUAUCAGUAUUACUGAGGAUCAAAAGAUACCACGGCAGGCGUUUCGUCCUCCUCUAACUUCCCUUGUCCCCUGUCUCUACAGGGAUUUCUGUCCCCACAAUAGGGUAGCUAAAUUCAUACGCAGAGUAUGCGUAAUCCUAAAUCUCAGUGCUCAGAACACAGAGGAGGAAUCCUGUCACGGCCUGUACUGGGAGAAAAGGCAGGUGCUGAUCGUAGAAAGAACUGAAGCUCGUGGUCACCUGCAAGCCACCAUCCAACACGCCAGGGCAAAGACUUGCUGCUCCCUGGCCUGGCCUGAACCAGCAGGUGCCCUCCACAUUCCCACUCAACACAAGUAGGUGGGUGCCCUCUAACAGGGCGUCAGGCACUCUUUUGAGUAUCUGUCUUACACCACAGCCACCAGUGCCAUCCUCUCUUGCCCUCCUCUCCCCCUACCCCGACCCCUCACCUCCUCAGGCCGGUCACUUUGCUUUGUCUGGUUCCGGUUCUUUGGCCUCAGAUCUGAUUUCCUCAGGUCGAGGCCCUCAGGAUAUCAUUUGGACAAACUCUGGAUCUCAUUUCUGAAGGCCUGUUUUUCUAAUUUCCCUGCCCCGUGCCCCUCACACCUGCCAAAGGAGAACCGCGGCUAGGGAUGGGUCUG
rnacentral:lncRNA from 1 species